rnacentral:lncRNA from 1 species
AUCCAAUGAUCAACAGAGUAUGCUGCGUCUGCAUGGGAAGGAAGUUUGUUCCCAUCUUGAGGAUAAUUGGUGUGAAGUCCUACCUUCUCAAAGAACACCAACUUUUUCAACAGGUUUGACAUAGUCUCCUGUAUUCAGCCAGUGGAAGUCUCUACUUAGAGUGAACUCCAUCCAUUGUCUGCUCCAAAAUGGUCUGGACUAUGCAGAAUCAACUCUCCACAACCACAAUCGAGUUUUAGCAGUGUCUUUUGAGAUCCAUUUGUCAUCUGUGUUGCACCAGCAGAAAAUCAUCUUUCUGGAUCAUAUUCAAGAUAAUAGUAUCAUGUUCUGCACACGGUUGGAAUCUGACUGGUACUGAGAAGAGCAGAGACGCUAAAUUGCAGCCACACUGUACUUGAAGGAGUUGUCCUUGUUUCAGUUUCAAGGGUCCUACUGUUAUGCACAGAUUUGGUUUUCCCUCAUCAUAUCACUGAAAAUGAUUUUCAGUAAAGAAAUAUGACCCCGAGACAAUUAAAAGAGGCAUUUAUAUCAAAGGAAAGAAUCCUAUAGCAGCCUGCUUAUUAAAUACAUAAUGCUUUGGUGGUUUUUCCUUUUGGAAUUUUUUAAUCAUGGGAAAAUUUCAUCUGAAGCAAACUGAAAAGUAUGAAGCAAAGAUUUGUAUAGUUUGUUCUCUGGGCUGCAUGCAGGUAUGAUGGUGUUGGGGCCAAGUAUCUGUGCGAUGAAGAGGCUGAACUGCACUAACUGCUGUUAAUGGGAAAAAUAGGUGGCUAGACCCUCUCCCCGCAGUAAAUCCUCCCAUGGUUCUCUUUGGUGACAGCAAAGGUGACCACUGCUGCUUCUGUGGAGUGACGUAACAUAUGGCUGUCUUUACACAGUAUUGGUCUUCCUGGAGACAGCAAAAGGCUUUCUUCUGCAACUAGAAAUGAUUUCCAUGUGCAAAUAAAAUCUGAUCAAGG